UCGUAGCCUUUGCUACCCACAUUUAUUUCCCUUUUUUCAGGUAAUUUAGCACCAGAGUUAGGUGCUGACCGGGUUUGGAUUGCUGUAAUGAUAAUGGCUGGCUGCUAGCUGGCUGGGGGCUGACUGUGGAUGUCUUCCCCGGCCAGGGCUG